rnacentral:rRNA from 1 species
CCCUUAGAUGUUCUGGGCUGCACGCGCGCUACACUGAUGCAUUCAACGAGUAUUUCCUUGGCCGAGAGGCCUGGGCAAUCUUUUAAACCUGCAUCGUGAUAGGGAUAGAUUAUUGCAAUUAUUAAUCUUGAACGAGGAAUUCCUAGUAAACGCAAAUCAUCAAUUUGCAUUGAUUACGUCCCUGCCCUUUGUACACACCGCCCGUCGCACCUACCGAUUGAAUGGUCCGGUGAAAUCUCGGGAUUGUGGCCAGUUCACUUUAUUGGGAGUUGGCUGCGAGAACUUGCUUAAACCUUAUCAUUUAGAGGAAGGUGAAGUCGUAACA